GCCGGAGUAGCGCAAUGGCAGCGCGUAGCUUUCCUAAGGCUAAGGCUGUGGGUUCGAGUCCCACCUUCGGUU
rnacentral:tRNA from 1 species